GACGAACGCUGGCGGCGUGCUUAACACAUGCAAGUCGAACGGAAAGGCCUAGCUUGCUGGGUACUCGAGUGGCGAACGGGUGAGUAACACGUGGGUGAUCUGCCCCUGACUUUGGGAUAAGCCUGGGAAACUGGGUCUAAUACCGGAUAUUCAUUUUUCCUCGCAUGGGGAUUUGUGGAAAGCUUUUGCGGUUGGGGAUGGGCCCGCGGCCUAUCAGCUUGUUGGUGGGGUAAUGGCCUACCAAGGCGACGACGGGUAGCCGACCUGAGAGGGUGAUCGGCCACACUGGGACUGAGACACGGCCCAGACUCCUACGGGAGGCAGCAGUGGGGAAUAUUGCACAAUGGGCGCAAGCCUGAUGCAGCGACGCCGCGUGAGGGAUGACGGCCUUCGGGUUGUAAACCUCUUUCGGCUCCGACGAAGCGCAAGUGACGGUAGGGGCAGAAGAAGCACCGGCCAACUACGUG
rnacentral:rRNA from 1 species